rnacentral:rRNA from 1 species
AAAUUGAAGAGUUUGAUCAUGGCUCAGAUUGAACGCUGGCGGCAGGCCUAACACAUGCAAGUCGAACGGUAACAGGAAGCAGCUUGCUGCUUUGCUGACGAGUGGCGGACGGGUGAGUAAUGUCUGGGAAACUGCCUGAUGGAGAGGGAUAACUACUGGAAACGGUGGCUAAUACCGCAUAACGUCGCAAGACCAAAGAGGGGGACCUUCGGCCUCUUGCCAUCAGAUGUGCCCAGAUGGGAUUAGCU